ACAUAAUUUAUCUAUAUAAUUAUUUACAUUGUAGCUAACCCAUCAGUACUUGCAAAGUCUUCUUUUCUCUAAGCCCGAAAUUUGAGUUCUAAAAUACCAUUAUCCACAUAACUACUAUAUCAAAGCACAAACUAAUGGAUUGAUCAAGAAGGGCACUGCAGUUGUCUUGCAGUUAUGCAACUUAUCAACCCAUAACUGCGAUAACUACAUGUUUUUUUAAUAAGAAAAGAGAUUGUAUGACUUCGGUAUCCGCAAUACGGUAUCGUGCAUUGAUUCCCAUCUUAGAAUGGCUCCCUUCCGUAUAGGUGGAAAUAGGAAAGGUUAUGUCCUUUUUUUAAUUCUUAAAACGAAGAGGCUUAAUCAGUUCAAACAAAGAUGACGAUGAUCAUUAUGGAGCCGAUCAUAAUGAGGAAUUCGAUAAUGCAUAUAAUAAUAAAUAAAAUGAUUUUACUUGUAAAAAAACUUAUUUAAAUAAAAAAUUAUAUGUUUAA